rnacentral:rRNA from 1 species
UACAGAGGGGGCAAGCGUUGUUCGGAAUUACUGGGCGUAAAGGGCGCGUAGGCGGCCUCCUAAGUCAGACGUGAAAUCCCCCGGCUUAACCUGGGAACUGCGUCUGAUACUGGGAGGCUAGAGUGCGGGAGAGGGAUGCGGAAUUCCAGGUGUAGCGGUGAAAUGCGCAGAUAUCGGGAGGAACACCAAUGGCGAAGGCAGCUCGCUGGGACGUUACUGACGCUGAGACGCGAAAGCGUGGGGAGCAAACAGGG